UGUUUUUUCUUCCAGUCCUCCAUUCUUUCCUUCCACGCAACAGUUCCAUAUCCAUAAACUGCCAAAUCUUUCUUAGGAUCCAUGGGCCGAGGAGGCACUGCAAAGUAUCAAACACAUUAGGCCCUCUAAUACUGGAAAAUUGGUCUAAGAAUUAAAAUUUAGCACAAACUUGUUUUAACUUACAAGACAUGGAAUCAGAAUAAGGCACAGGAUGAACUUUCUUUCCGCGACCCAUAAAAGGUCUAAGAAUUAAAAUUUAGCACAAACUUGAUUUAACUUACAAGACAUGGAAUCAGAAUAAGGCACAGGAUGAACUUUCUUUCCGCGACCCAUAAAAGGUGGGAUGAUAAGAGCAUGCUUGUCAGCA
rnacentral:lncRNA from 1 species